AAAAGAGUCGGAUUUCCCAUCACUAGAACGAAGAUAAACAGAGGACCAGCCCCAACAAAGAACUGACACCUCCCUGUGGGCGUUGGUUUCUGGUUUCAGCGGUAAAAGAAGGAAAACAUUUUGAUCUCCAGCAAGUUGGUUUUUCACUUCCAGCAGAAUCAGUUUGAUUUCCUGCUGGUACGACGCAUGCGACUGUUUUUUCCUCGGAGCAUUCAAACCUGUUGAACAUGAGUCUGAAACCAGGAGGGAAUGUUUUUGUGACCAGAGUCACUAAAUCAGUCGGUCUCUGCACUGCAGUCACUGGGAUUUUUCUCUACCAUGCCGUAUUUGACAAGGACCUUGAAUGUACCUGCAAAGAUCAAAUCAGGGUUUGGCAGGUCUACAUGACCCUCCCUGUAUUCAUAAUACCUGUAGUGUUGCUGUUGUUGGAUGGAUCCUUUCAGGUGCUCCUAAAAUACAGCUGCCUGAAGGGUAGGAAGAGAUUCCGUCGCUUUUUGUUGCAGUGCAUCAUCAGAGCAUUUCUCAUCGGCCUGUUGUGGCCGAUAUCAGUGAUGAUCGAUGGAGAUUGGUACGCCUGCUAUUAUAUUCACAAGAAUCUGUACUGUGGAGAGUUCAAUCUGAGAGCUGAUGGCCUAAUGAUCAUGAAAGAGCUCAAAUACACAUCGAGGAUUAUUGGCUUCACUGUGCUCAUCGUCGUCAUCGCUCUGGCUGCCAUCUUACGCUUCCCAUGGAGGGAAUGCUGCACUCAUGAAUCAAAAAAAUCAAUGUCUAAGAGUGAAUCAAAGUAUCUCAGCAAAGAUGAUGUCUUCGUAAAGAUUCUUUUGGAAGAGGGUGCAAAUAUAGUUACAAAUGAGCUGAUAGAGGUUGCACAAAGCGAGAUAAAAGAAAAACUCAAAGGCCACGUGUCUGCUGGAGAAUGGCUGAAAUGUUAUGAUGUUGUGGACGAGAUCAUUAAGGUUCACACCUCUACACCCACAUCAUCUGAAUACUCCCCUAACGAGGCCACAGCCUCAGUUUAGUCCUCCAAAGACCAACGCUGAAUCCCAAACUGCCCCCUCCACUACCGAGUGUCACUCCAAAAGAAGUCACACUCACAGCUGUGGAGGGCACCUAUUACUGAAGGGGGAGGGUAUAAAUACGAUCGUCAGGAAUGAGACGCCCUGUCGCCUCACCGGAAAACGGAAGACGUCAUCGCCAUGGUAACACAAAGACGCGUACUGUCAUGGCUGUAGCGCUGUGGCACAGGUUGCAACUAACAAGGAUCGCUGCUGCUUCCAGAAGACGAAAGCGUCCCACUUUUUUUUCACUCACAUGUUUUCCAAUCCUAUUAUCUGGCAUUUCAAAUCCAACAAAUGAAUGAAUGAACGAAUUAUGUCAGUUGUGUUCAAAUUUUAAGGUGUCAGGGGGUGCACAAUUAAAUCAAAUGUCAGCAGAGAAGAAGAUUUGUUUCUUUUGAUUUAUCUUUUUACAUCACUCUUUUUGUGAUGUUCUGUCAGUGUGAAAAAUGCGUGGGAGAAAUAAAGGACGCAUGUGGAACUUACAUCGAUAUGUUGUUUCCUCCUCCAUUUCGACGUUGCACUUCCUGAAAAAGUUGUCCAGAGUGAGCAUCGAUGCAGACUCGCUAUUUAAGGGCUGAACAGUCCACUCUCCCUCCGCACUACGCGGUUUGGGACGGCCCUUAAUAUGGAGGACCCUCCACGGGAACACGCAAACGGAGGGAUAGUGUGUAGGGGGCGGUUUGGGAUUCAGCCCUUGUCUUCUUUCCAGAGUUCCUCGUCACUCCAACAUCAGCGCCUCUCUGUGGUCAAAGCUAAAGCUGGCCCAUAUUUGAUCAUCACAGCUGCUCUGUUGCUAACUUGUUGCUAGUUGUACAGAAAUGUUUUCCAGGACUCAUACGUAGCUCAGACUGCUUUAAAGAGGAUUUACAGACAUUUAAUCUUUGCUCCGUUUGAAGCAUCUUUCUGUUCCUACACUUGAAGCUUUUCUUCUAUUUCUGCUGAUUGUGACUGCUGACAUUUAGACUGCAUUAAUAAUCAACUAACUACUGCUGAGCUCAGGGAUUCACACAUUUGUGGGGAUUAUUAAGUUCUUAUCAUGGAUUACCAAUUAUUUUAAAUCUAUGUCAUGUUGAAUUUCACACUUCCUGCAUGUUCUCUUUUCUUGUUAGUAAUAAAAAUCUUUAUUGAUCA